GAUGAACGCUGGCGGCGUGCCUAAUACAUGCAAGUCGAGCGAACAGACGAGGAGCUUGCUCCUCUGACGUUAGCGGCGGACGGGUGAGUAACACGUGGAUAACCUCCCUAUAAGACUGGGAUAACUUCGGGAAACCGGAGCUAAUACCGGAUAAUAUAUUGAACCGCAUGGUUCAAUAGUGAAAGACGGUUUUGCUGUCACUUAUAGAUGGAUCCGCGCCGCAUUAGCUAGUUGGUAAGGUAACGGCUUACCAAGGCAACGAUGUGUAGCCGACCUGAGAGGGUGAUCGGCCACACUGGAACUGAGACACGGUCCAGACUCCUACGGGAGGCAGCAGUAGGGAAUCUGCCGCAAUGGGCGAAAGCCUUACGGAGCAACGCCGCGUGAGUGAUGAAGGUCUUCGGAUCGUAAAACUCUGUUAUUAGGGAAGAACAAAUGUGUAAGUAACUAUGCACGUCUUGACGGUACCUAAUCAGAAAGCCACGGCUAACUACGUG
rnacentral:rRNA from 1 species